GACGAACGCUGGCGGCGUGCUUAACACAUGCAAGUCGAACGGAAAGGCCCUGCUUGCAGGGUACUCGAGUGGCGAACGGGUGAGUAACACGUGGGUGAUCUGCCCUGCACUUCGGGAUAAGCCUGGGAAACUGGGUCUAAUACCGGAUAGGAGCCAUUUUUAGUGUGAUGGUUGGAAAGUUUUUUCGGUGUAGGAUGAGCUCGCGGCCUAUCAGCUUGUUGGUGGGGUAAUGGCCUACCAAGGCGGCGACGGGUAGCCGGCCUGAGAGGGUGGACGGCCACAUUGGGACUGGGAUACGGCCCAGACUCCUACGGGAGGCAGCAGGGGGGAAUAUUGCACAAUGGGCGCAAGCCUGAUGCAGCGACGCCGCGUGGGGGAUGACGGCCUUCGGGUUGGAAACUCCUUUCGCUAGGGACGAAGCUUUUUGUGACGGUACCUAGAGAAGAAGCACCGGCUAACUACGUG
rnacentral:rRNA from 1 species